ensembl:lncRNA
UUUAUACAGUGAAUUGCAUUCGAAACUAGCUACUGAUUUGUACAGUGAAUUGGAUUCUAAACUAGUUACCAAUUUGUACACUGAAUUGCCUUCUAAACUUGUUUGAAGUCUUUGACUUCAAGACAAAAGUUUCAAUAUAGACCAGAUAAUUUUUUUUCAUUGUUGUCAAUAAGAAAUGUGAGAUUGUGAUAUGACAUAUUGAUAAAACAAAAGACAUUUGCCAAAGAGAAUAUGCCAUCAAGUAUCAAAACUGUAUAAAUAUACAAAAAAAACAAACAACAACAACAACCAAAUGUUAGUGUAAUGACAAGAUAAGAGACACAUGGUAGAGGCAUCUACAGCAGCGAGGCGAUACUACGACGUGCUCCUCUUUGGCAGACAUGCAGAGGUACGAGCUGCGUUCAGCACGUCUCUUCAACAUGAGGAAGGCCGACAGAAAAUACAGUACAUCAACGUCCCAGUGUGGCACCCUAUUUCCCUACGUAGGGCACUACUUCUGAACAGGGCCCCACAGAGUUCUGGGCAAAAGUAGGGCACUAUAUAGGGAAUAGGGUGCCAUUUGGGAAACAUUCUAAAUCAACCCCCCACACUGGUGUGUUACUGAUGAAAUUAUAAUUCUGUUUUUCUUUAACACUAUGCCUAUACAAUAUUUGACAAGGCACUGUCAGGAUUUAUUUAAUGAUUUUACAAUGUUCCUUAUUCCGGGAAUGCACGAAACAGGCACGUAAAACGACGAGAUAUUGACGACAAUGGCAACCGAUUUCAAACGCCGGCAAAAUAUAUACAGGAAUGUGAAUGGAGGCCGAUGAUCCUAGACUCUUAAAGAUAAAAAAAAAAAAGUUGCAAUCUAGAAUUACAGAAGGGUUCUUUGGCUGUCCCCGUAGGAGAACCCAGUGCAGAAGCCUUCUGGGUAUUUUUUGGGGGGGGGGGUUUCAUGUAGAAGAACAGCCGAAGAAGCCCUAUGGAGCCUUUUCAUUCUAAGACUGAACUGUUACAGGAAAAACAAGCACCCAUUUAUUCCAGUCAACAUCCAUGGGACAGACACAGAGCAACAUCUACAGUAUGUGUAGUAAUUCUGUCAGACUCAUUGGCUAGAGGAUACACACCUAUCUCAACCCCCCACCCAUCCUCCAAAACAAGAUAACUCAACUCAGAAAAAAGGAAAUUCAUGUUCUCUCCAUCACACAGAAAAUACUAUACUUUGAUGAUAACAUUUCUCCUUCAGUCCUCAGUCAGGGUAAACACAUGAUAAGUCCUUCAGUUCUCAGUCAGGGUAAACACAUGAUAAGUCCUUCAGUUCUCAGGUAAACACAUGAUAAGUCCUUCAGUUCUCAGUCAGGGUAAACACAUGAUAAGUCCUUCAGUUCUCAGUCAGGGUAAACACAUGACACAUCCUUCAGUUCUCAGUCAGGGUAAACACAU